GAUGAAGAACGUAGCGAAAUGCGAUAAGUAAUGUGAAUUGCAGAAUUCAGUGAAUCAUCGAAUCUUUGAACGCACAUUGCGCCCGCCAGUAUUCUGGCGAGCAUGCCUGUUCGAGCGUCAUUUCAACCAUCAAGCCCCAGGCUUGUGUUGGAGCCCUGCGGCUGCCGCAGCCUCCCAAAACCAGUGGCGGGCUCGCUAUCACACCGAGUGCAGUAGUUUACUCUUCGCUCAGGGCGUGUGGUGGGUGCUAGCCGUGAAACCCCCAACUUCUCAAGGUUGACCUCGGAUCAGGUAGGAAUACCCGCUGAACUUAAGCAUAUCAAUAAGCGGAGGA
rnacentral:misc_RNA from 1 species